GUCUGACUGUUCAUCACGAUGAAGGUCCUUCUGUUCCUAAUUGUGGUGGCUGUGGCCCUGGGAGACGACGUGGUGGACGAGGACCGGGGCGACAGCGAGUACCACUUCGCCUGGCUCCACGACGGCGGCCGGACCUACGACUGGCAGGGCGCCAACAGCUACUGCUCGAGCCUCGGCCGCGGCUGGAAGGGCAUCAGCAUCGAGACCAGGGAGAGAACGACUUCGUCACCGAUGUGAUCGAACACCACGAGCUGCCGUGGGUCUGGACCGGAGGCCAACGCAGGGGACGCGACUUCGUGUGGCCUUCAGGAGCCCGUUUCGUGGGUCUGAACUGGUCUCACACCGGCGGGAAGAAGCAACCGCAACCGGACAACCGCGAGCAAGGGGGCGAGAACUGCGUGGCCGUCCUCAACGACUUCUACGACGACGGCGUCAGGUGGCACGACAUCGCCUGCCACCACGAGAAGUCCAUCAUCUGCGAGCGCGACGACUGAGAGCUCGGGCGGAGGCCAGGGGCGGCGUCCCUUGGCGCGCAGUUGGGCGCUCUGCGGGAAGGAAUCUCUGCCGAAGGACUCUUGGCUUGGCGAGGAAUGUCCGUAUUUAUUCCUAUUUAUGUGUGGAUAAGAAUAAAGGAAAACUUGUCAAGAA